rnacentral:rRNA from 1 species
UUUGACUGGGGCGGUCGCCUCCUAAAAGGUAACGGAGGCGCUCAAAGGUUCCCUCAGAAUGGUUGGAAAUCAUUCAUAGAGUGUAAAGGCAUAAGGGAGCUUGACUGCGAGACCUACAAGUCGAGCAGGGUCGAAAGACGGACUUAGUGAUCCGGUGGUUCCGCAUGGAAGGGCCAUCGCUCAACGGAUAAAAGCUACCCCGGGGAUAACAGGCUUAUCUCCCCCAAGAGUUCACAUCGACGGGGAGGUUUGGCACCUCGAUGUCGGCUCAUCGCAUCCUGGGGCUGUAGUCGGUCCCAAGGGUUGGGCUGUUCGCCCAUUAAAGCGGUACGCGAGCUGGGUUCAGAACGUCGUGAGACAGUUCGGUCCCUAUCCGUCGUGGGCGUAGGAAAUUUGAGAGGAGCUGUCCUUAGUACGAGAGGACCGGGAUGGACAUACCUCUGGUGUACCAGUUGUCGUGCCAACGGCAUAGCUGGGUAGCUAUGUGUGGACGGGAUAAGUGCUGAAAG